GAGAGGUGCCUGCAGCCUAGGCGGCAACCAUGCUAUCUUGCACAGACACAAAAAGCCUUUUGGAAGGUUGUGUCUUUGUUGAAGAUGAUGUUUAGCAUUUUAGCAUUCAAGACUCUUCAGACACGGAUUGCGAGAACGCCUGGCCUGAGAAAUUGACACCCGAGUGAAUGGAGGCGAAUGCACCUGCUUAAGUUGAGGAAGGCAGAUCACCAAAGGCGGCAGGAGUCCAGUGGUGAGGAUGGGAGGUCGGGAGAAGCUAAGAAGAAGGAGAGAAGAGACUCUACAGUGGGAGAACCACUUUGGGAAGAGCAGGAUCAGCCCCUUUAUCAUUUUGGUUUCCCUCUUCUGCUGCACCUUCUUCAGUUCGACAGUAUCGCUUUUUUGGUAAUCUGGCGACCGGAAGGAUACACUUUACUUCUGAGGAACAGCUACAACUGGAAACAAGGUCAGCUUCAUGUUGUUGUUGUUGUUGUUGUUGUUGUUAUAGCCCAGUAAGCUUCCAGACCACCUUGGGUUUAUUCUCUCUUUUUGACAGUUAAAGCACCACAUUUUCAUUGAUGCCAGGAGAUGUUGAACAGUAGGGCACACAUCCUGGGGUGCCUCUGUUAUGGCACAAGAGAUAUUCCCAGACUGAUUGGGCAAGGUUCGGACCACAAUGUGUGUCUGGACAUUUAAAUUUGCAUUCUGAUUGGGCAAGACCUCUAGGGUUUUUAAAUUCUGUCUUGAUCGAAUUGGGCAAGAUCUCUAGGAUUUUUAAAUUGUAUAUGGAAUUGGGCAAGAUCAAGGCCUGUGUGGGCCUCGAUUUUUAAAUUGCAUCCCCCAGCUUGACCUUUACAAUUGUAUUCUGAUUGGGCAAGACCUCUAGGGUUUUUAAAUUCUGUAUGGAAUUGGGCAAGAUCAGGGCCUGUGUGGGCCUCGAUUUUUAAAUUGCAUCCCCCAGCUUGACUGAGCACACAAUCUCUAGGUUCCCUUAGAGUGA